UGGGGAAUAUUGGGCAAUGGAGGAAACUCUGACCCAGCGACGCCGCGUGCGGGAUGAAGGCCUUCGGGUUGUAAACCGCUUUCAGCAGGGAAGAAGCGAAAGUGACGGUACCUGCAGAAGAAGCACCGGCUAACUAUGUGCCAGCAGCCGCGGUAAUACAUAGGGUGCAAGCGUUGUCCGGAAUUAUUGGGCGUAAAGAGCUCGUAGGUGGUUCGUCACGUCGGAUGUGAAACUCUGGGGCUUAACCCC
rnacentral:rRNA from 1 species